rnacentral:rRNA from 1 species
GAUGAACGCUGGCGGCGUGCCUAAUACAUGCAAGUCGAGCGAACGGACGAGAAGCUUGCUUCUCUGAUGUUAGCGGCGGACGGGUGAGUAACACGUGGAUAACCUACCUAUAAGACUGGGAUAACUUCGGGAAACCGUAGCUAAUACCGGAUAAUAUUUUGAACCGCACGGUUCAAAAGUGAAAGACGGUCUUGCUGUCACUUAUAGAUGGAUCCGCGCUGCAUUAGCUAGUUGGUAAGGUAACGGCUUACCAAGGCAACGAUGCAUAGCCGACCUGAGAGGGUGAUCGGCCACACUGGAACUGAGACACGGUCCAGACUCCUACGGGAGGCAGCAGUAGGGAAUCUUCCGCAAAGGGCGAAAGCCUGACGGAGCAACGCCGCGUGAGUGAUGAAGGUCUUCGGAUCGUAAAACUCUGUUAUUAGGGAAGAACAUAUGUGUAAGUAACUGUGCACAUCUUGACGGUACCUAAUCAGAAAGCCACGGCUAACUACGUG